rnacentral:lncRNA from 1 species
AAAAAGUUAAAAAUUAAAAAUUUUAAUUUUAAUUUUAGUUUUAAAAAUUUAUAAAUGGUAAUUUCAAAAUUCAAGUUUAUAGUUUUAAAUUUUAAAUUUUAAUAUUAAAUUUUAUAUUUUUUAAUAUAAAUUUGAUAUUUAUAUUUUAAAAUUUAAACUUGAUCUUAAAUUUUAAAUUUUGAAAUUUGAAAUUAAAAAUUAAAAAUUUUAAUUUUAAUUAUAUGGAGUCUUUUUAAGAAAAAAAACAAAAGCAAACAAAGGUUUGGAGUCUUUAUUUUGAAACUUAUAUUAUUGCACGCAUUUGAUAAACGAAUGAUUAGACCUCUUUUGGUUGUUUAGAGAGGUUUAUUCAUCUUAAAACUACUUCAAUUCAACAUGCUUAAUUUUUUUAAUCUCUUACGCGCUCAGCAAUCCUAGAAUUACUUUAAUUCUUUCGUGCCUAACCCUUUUAAUCUCUUGGGUGUAGACACCGUCCAAAAUGUUAUAACCGGAUUAAAAUUUUUAACUCUAUUAUAUAUUAUAUAGGACUAUUUUUUCAACCAUGCUGCGCUCCAUCGACAAUGCUCGUCGGUCAGGGAGUCGCAUUCUACCCGCUGUACAACCCUAACUCAUCUUACACUUUCGGCUAGUGAUCAUUAACUCUCAUAUAUACUAACUGACGCUUCGCUUUUCAGAGGAUUACUUAUUCUACAUCUACUCUAGUUCUAGUAUGCUUAACCCUCUUAAUUUUUUGAUCUAGUCAUCGCUGAAAAUGCUAAAGUCAGAUUAAACAAUUUAGCCCUAUUACGUCUCAUAUAUAAGGCUAUUUCAAAUCUUAGAAUGUCACAGAGAUUUUUCUUGUAAUUUUUAUAGAGCAAAAAUAUAUAUAUAGAGAUAUGUUUCUAUUUUUCGGAAUAGAUUGUAUAAAUUAUAUUAUAACCGACUCAUUGUGGUAGAAAAGGAUUAUGCACCAUAAGAAAGAAAUGUAGUACAAUUUGU